UGCCUCUUGAACAGAAAGAUGAGCUGU
rnacentral:piRNA from 1 species